UACAGAGGUGGCAAGCGUUGUUCGGAAUUACUGGGCGUAAAGGGCGCGUAGGCGGCCUUCUAAGUCAGACGUGAAAUCCCCCGGCUUAACCUGGGAACUGCGUCUGAUACUGGAAGGCUUGAGUGCGGGAGAGGGAUGUGGAAUUCCAGGUGUAGCGGUGAAAUGCGUAGAUAUCUGGAGGAACACCGGUGGCGAAGGCGGCAUCCUGGACCGACACUGACGCUGAGGCGCGAAAGCUAGGGUAGCAAACGGG
rnacentral:rRNA from 2 species